GUCUUUUUGAGUUUAUCUAAAAAGUCUAACCUGCUCUAUGUAUUAUAAAUGGCCGCGGUAUUUUGACCGUGCUAAGGUAGCAUAAUAAAUAGUCCAUUAAUUAUGGUCUGGAAUGAAAGGUUUUUCGAAAAAUAACUUUUUUAAUUUUGUAUAUGAAUUUCAAUUAUUAGUUAAAAUGCUAAUAUACUUAAGAGGGACGAGAAGACCCUAUAGAACUUUAUAUAAUAUGCUAAUUGGUAGUAAAUGGAAGCUAAUUAUAUUUUGUUGGGGCGACAAUAAAUAUUAAACAUUUAAUUUGAAGGCUAAUAUAGUAGGUUAAAUGAUCCAUUAUUAAUGAUUUAAGAUUAAGUUACCUUAGGGAUAACAGCGUAAUUUUGUUUUAGAGUUCUUAUCGACAAUAAAGAUUGCGAC
rnacentral:rRNA from 1 species